rnacentral:tRNA from 1 species
CAUUAAGUUUCUUAAAUGCAAGAAUUGGUCUCUUAAACUAAAAUAUGGUAUAUUAGCAAAUACUCUUAAUGA